GUUGAUUCUCGGCCAACUUCCUGCUACGUUGGUAUAGGAAGGGGCUCUUUCUUUUCUUUGAAAAUUCCUUUAAUAUCGAUGACAUGUUGGUAGCACAUAGAGCUCAUAUUGUUUCAGUCUGACGUUGGUGCUUGUGCGUCUCAGUGCUUGGAAAAAAAACUCGUGACAGCUUGAAAUACAGAUGCCAUGACGUCAUCGUAAACAGUGGGGCGAGUCGCGUCCACUGUGCAACUCUCAAUUGGUCCUGAUAACCGAAAACUUAUCGAAUAUUCAGAGAUUACUGUGAGUUCAUACCUAAUUUCUUAUCUGAGUACUGUGGCCGUUCGUUAGACCAUGCCGUUCAUGUCUUGCUAGUUCAUCACAUUAGUCGCAGAGUCUGGCUCUUUUUGCCGUUGGAGACUAUUUCCAUUCCAACGGGGGCGGUUGAUUUCAAAAUGAUUUUCACCGAUUCGUUAGACUCGGACGAGUCGCUUUACGAUAUCAGCCUAACCUGCGAUGUCGCUGACAAUUUGGAAGAAGGCCACAGAGGCCUGGAUCGCGGUACGUUGCAUCAGACUCUGCCCGAGAGUCACUUUGGGGGCAGACAUGAACGUCGAUCACCAGCUUCGCAGUACAAACCUUCAAGGGACUUCCAGAGAUACAAACCAUCUUUAAAGAAUCUGAUGCCUGUUAGAAAGAAUAACAUAAAUAAGGAACAGAUGCCGCUAGACAAAGUUGGAUUCUUCUCCUACCAUAACAUUUAGCUGGGUCGGUCGUUACAUGAAACAAGCUUACAGAUAUGGAUUGCAACCGGAAGACGUUCCUUUAUGUUCGACUAAGGACGGAUGCGAUCACUGCGCCCAAAGGAUUGAAUUCAUGUGGAAUGAAGGGAGUCUUGCCUGAAGGCAUUAAAGGCGCUUCUUUGCGGCGAGUUGCUUGGAGGUUUACACGGACCCGAGUGUUAACGGGCAUCUUUUUGUAUUUUCUAUCGCUAGUCUUCGGAUUCUUGGGACCUGUGUAUCUGAUGGCCCAACUUUUACGAUUCUCUCAAGACCAAGAAGCGCCCUGGUGGCACGGCGCAUUGUGGGCUUCCGGAAUAGCCAUUUCCGAAAUGAUACGAGUCCUACUUUUUGGUGCGUCGUGGGGCAUAUCUUACAGAACGGGCAUCCGGCUGAAAUCAGCCGUCACGACGAUGCUCUUUAAAAAAGUGAUGCGUCUUUCCAGUCUUGGAGAUACAUCAAUCGGCGAGGUGAUUAAUUUAUUCGCCAAUGACAGCCAACGAAUUUACGAUGUGUGUAGCCUUGGUCCUUUAUUAUUUGGCGGUCCUUUCGUCGCCGUUAUCGCAACGCUUUACGUUGUUUACCUGUUAGGCCCUCAUGCCAUUAUUGGAAUGCUGGUGUUUCUUCUCUACUAUCCAGUUCAGUACGGUGUUUCCUUCCUAACUGGAUAUUGCCGUCGCAAGACAAUCAUCGUUACCGAUCAGCGAGUUACGUUGAUGAAAGAACUGCUGACCUGCGUCAAGUUAAUUAAGAUGUACGCGUGGGAAAAACCCUUUUCCAAAACAAUUACAGAUAUACGUAAAAGGGAACGCUUCCUGCUGGAAAUGACGGCCUACGUUCAGUCAGUCAGCGUUGCUCUCACGCCGGUUGUUCCCAUUCUGGCCGCUAUCGUGACUUUCCUCGUUCACACUUCUUUGGGAUAUGAUCUGUCACCUGCUGAGGCAUUCGCAGUUAUUGCAGUUAUGAUUGCUCGCGUGCGGCCCUCACUGAACGGAGCUCGUGAAGCUUUAAAAACCUGGGAUGAAGCCAGCGUUGUGUGGCCUCGCAUCGAGAAAGUUCUUGGACUGGAAGAAAUGAAAUCGAGUGUUCAAAGCCAUUGGAUCGUAGCGUAGCCGUUGCAGUUUCAGAAGCGACCUUCGCCUGGCAUUAUGCACCACCGCCUAAAGAUAAAAGCAAAAAACAAUAUAGCAAAGACAGGAAUGUCAAAAAUGAAUCGAAUAUCCAGGAACUUCCGCUUUUGUUUCAAUUGUCGUAUCUUACCAAUAUCGAUCUAAUCAUUCCCAAAGGCCAUUUGGUCGCUGUUUGCGGGGCGGUAGGAGCAGGCAAGUCUUCCUUGCUCUCCGCCAUUCUCGGCCAUAUGAAAAUCGAAAGGGAAGAGUAUCCAUCGAUGGAUCGUUCGCCUAUGUCUCGCAACAGGCGUGGAUCAUGAACAGCAGUCUGCGGGAUAACAUUCUCUUUGGAGAAGCAUUUGAUCCAAAAGAGUAUUAUGACGUCAUCUCAGCGUGUGCCCUAAGUCAAGAUUUGGACGCUUUACCCGCUGGAGAUGAAACAGAAAUGGGGAAAGAGGGAUCAAUCUUUCCGGUGGACAAAGACAGCGAGUCGCCAUGGCUAGAGCACUUUACGCCGACAGGGAUAUUUACCUCCUUGAUGACCCGUUGAGCGCAGUCGACGGACACGUUGGCCAGCACAUAUUCGAACAAUGCAUCCGCGGAGCUGAAAGCAAAAACGAUUGUGUUUGUGACUCAUCAGCUUCAAUAUUUGAGUCAAUGUGACGAGGUUGUCUUUAUGGACGAAGGCAAAGUCUUAGAUCAGGGAAGCCACGUUGAUCUGAUGAAUCGUAACGGCCGCUACACGACGCUCAUUCACACGUUUUUAAGUCAAAGGGCGAUGAUAAUGUCGAAGACGAAGAAGAAGAAGAUCCCCAUUUAGUGAACAGAAGAAUUAAACCUUCGUCUCCGAUACAAUCAAGCCCAUCAACGUCGAUUGCCACUUCGUUGGCAAUUGAAUCCAGUGCGUCUAAAAAAAACAGCGAAUUUAGCCUUUCAACAGCAAAUUCCUGUCGCCAUGAACAGUCGUCUAACUGAAGCCGAGAAAAUGGAAAAAGGUUCCAUACCUUGGAGCACUUACCACAUCUACAUUAAAUCAGCUGGUGGAUAUAUUCUUUCACUUCUCGUCCUAUUAACUUUCAUCCUCAACAUCUUCAGUACCGCUCUUAGUUCAUGGUGGCUUGCACAUUGGUUCAACGUCGGAUCGGCGAAUACGACGAGGACCGUAGGCAAUGAAACGGAAUAUUACAUGAGCGUUACCGCUCAUCCGGAUGUUCAGUUCUAUCAAAUCAUUUUACGUUUUUAUCUUGGUUAUCUUGCUCACCAGUCUGUUGCGGAGCUUCUCUUUUAUGAAGACGAGUCUUAGGGCAUCCAGCGCUCUUCACGACAAGCUCUUCGUCAAAAUCUUUGCCUGUCCGAUGCGUUUUUCGAUUCGACGCCAGUCGGGCGCAUCAUCAACAUUUUUCACGCGAUCUAGACGAAACCGACAGCCGCAUUCCGUCGUCCACCGAUACGCUCAUUCAAUAUGUUUUGGUCAUCAUCAUGUCCAUCUUUUUCGUCGUGUUGGCCGUUCCUUGGUUCUUAGUCGCUCUGGUCGUUUUGUCUUUCAUCUUCGCCCUGUACAGCCGCGUAUUCCGUCGCGGAUUGCGUGAUCUGACGCGACUGGAACACGUUUCACGCUCUCCUAUCUAUAGCCAUGUGGAUGCCAGCAUUAACGGCAGGGCACCGUUCACGCGUUCGGAAAACAACGCCAAUUCAUUUCCAAGUAUAUGAUUUUACAAGACGAGAAUUCGUCAGCUUAUUUUCUAUUGAAUUGCAGUCAUCGCUGGCUAUCUGUUCGCCUCGAUUUUAUUACAGUGUGUGGAAUGGCGGUAACUGCUGGAUUAAUCGUUGCUUUACGUGGAACGAUUCCCGUAGCGUCAGCGGGUUUAGCUUUAGCGUAUGCCAAUCAACUAUCGGGAAUUAUGCAGUACAUCGUUCGUUUGGCUUGUGAAACCGAAUCACGCUUCACUUCUGUCCAGCGAAUGCACACUUAUCUUAUGACGUUGGAAAGCGAAGACCCCGCAAUUGUUAAAGAUCGACGGCCACCACAAGAUUGGCCCACGAAAGGCUCUAUUCAAUUUUCAAAUGUGAAAAUGCGUUACCGACAUCAUUUGCCAUUGGUCUUGGACGGCGUUUCAUUCGAUAUUGAACCCCAAGCAAAAAUCGGUAUUGUCGGGAGGACGGGUUCGGGAAAUCGUCAUUGGGUGUCUCAUUAUUCAGAUUAGUAGAACUGACAUCGGGUGUUAUCAAAAUCGAUGGCAUUAACAUUUCAGAAAUCGGAUUGGAAGAUUUGCGCUCAAAGUUGUCCAUCAUCCCUCAAGACCCAGUGCUUUUCAUCGGUACCGUAAGGUACAACUUAGAUCCGUUUCAAAAGUAUACUGACGAGGCCAUCUGGGAGGCGAUCGAGCGUACCAAUAUGAAAGAUAAAAUUAAAGCACUGCCCGACAAACUGGACAGUCCAGUCAUCGAGAACGGUGAAAAUUUCUCUGUGGGUGAGAGGCAGCUGCUUUGCAUGGCCCGAGCUCUGUUGCGUCACAGUAAGAUUCUCUUGUUGGAUGAGGCCACGGCGGCCAUCGAUACGCAGACGGAUGCGCUAGUGCAGAGGACGUUGCGAGAAGCUUUCAAAGAUUGUACGAUUCUGACGAUCGCCCAUCGUCUUAACACAGUCAUCCAGUGUGACAAAAUUCUUGUGCUUCACGAUGGAAAAGUGAUGGAGUAUGACAAACCGUCGGUACUUAUGGCCAAAAGCGAUUCAAUUUUUGCUGGAAUGAUGUCCGUUGCCGAGGUCUCCGAUGAUUGCCUCUUAGAGCUUUAAUUGAAAGAAUCGUUAUUGUCUAGUGUGCGUCUCACUAUAGAAGAUGAUUGCAUUGCCAAUAUUAACCGUACUAUUCACAGUUUAUGAUGACGUUUUGAGUUACACCUACAAGCUAAGCAAACGGAGAACCCUAUUCCCCUUAUUUUUUUUUAUAUAUUUUAUGCUGUAUAAAAUUGAUUAAAAUGAUGAACAAACUUAA